rnacentral:rRNA from 1 species
CAUGGCCUGAAGAGGAAACCCUUCGGGGGCACCAGGACGGGCUCGCGGCCUAUCAGCUAGUUGGCGGGGUAACGGCCCACCAAGGCUUCGACGGGUAGCUGGUCUGAGAGGAUGGCCAGCCACAUUGGGACUGAGAGACGGCCCAGACUCCUACGGGAGGCAGCAGUGGGGAAUAUUGCGCAAUGGUCGAGAGACUGACGCAGCGACGCCGCGUGUGGGAUGAAGCUCUUCGGGGUGUAAACCACUGUUGCCCGGGACGAACGGGAGGAUCUAUCCUCCGUGACGGUACCGGGUGAGGAAGCACCGGCUAACUCCGUGCCAGCAGCCGCGGUAAUACGGAGGGUGCGAGCGUUGUCCGGAAUCACUGGGCGUAAAGGGCGCGUAGGUGGCUUUGUAAGCGGGCGG